rnacentral:rRNA from 1 species
GAACGGUAGCACAGAGGAGCUUGCUCCUUGGGUGACGAGUGGCGGACGGGUGAGUAAUGUCUGGGAAACUGCCCGAUGGAGGGGGAUAACUACUGGAAACGGUAGCUAAUACCGCAUAACGUCUUCGGACCAAAGUGGGGGACCUUCGGGCCUCACACCAUCGGAUGUGCCCAGAUGGGAUUAGCUAGUAGGUGGGGUAAUGGCUCACCUAGGCGGCGAUCCCUAGCUGGUCUGAGAGGAUGACCAGCCACACUGGAACUGAGACACGGUCCAGACUCCUACGGGAGGCAGCAGUGGGGAAUAUUGCACAAUGGGCGCAAGCCUGAUGCAGCCAUGCCGCGUGUAUGAAGAAGGCCUUCGGGUUGUAAAGUACUUUCAGCGGGGAGGAAGGCGAUGUGGUUAAUAACCGCAUCGAUUGACGUUACCCGCAGAAGAAGCACCGGCUAACUCCGUG